rnacentral:lncRNA from 1 species
AAGCAUGAUUCCGCCUUUUAAUUGUUAAAUGCAUGCUAUAGAUGUUAUUCAAUUGAACAUGUUUUCACAAAAUAAUCCUUCAAGUGGUAUCAGAGCCUAGGUCUAGUAGUUGGUGAAUCCUUUUGGGUUUUGUGGUUAAUAGUUUGUAAUUGAAAAGUUGUAAUAUGUUACAAGCUUUAUUCUUGUUUCUUUGAAUGUAAAUUUUGUUAGAAAAUUUGCCAUCUCAAAUUUUGUUGAUGUAGUUCUUAUGAGCAUGAAUAUUGGAGCUAAAAUUUGGUGCCAUGUUUUUGGGAAUUUUCGGCCAAAUCCAAAGGGUGGAUUUUUGGGUUCUUGUUUGACUUGUUAAAAGUGUUUUCAAGUAACUUUUGGAACCCCUAUGUACCCUAGUUUGGUUAUAUGUUAUUUCCCUAAAGUUUGAAUGGUUUUGGGAUGUUUUUGGAGUAAAAAUGUUCAUGGAAAUUUUUGGAUUUUUUCAUGAAUGUUCUUCAUUGUUCUUGACAUUUUUGCCAAGAACAAAAAGUUUUGUGUUUUGAUUCAAAGUUUUGAUUUAUUUCAUAAAGUUUUUGUUUUAUGUUUUUCAAAUGAUUUAAUGUGUUAGAUAUUUGUUUAAAUGGUGGUAGAAAUAAUGGUGGGUGUGAAAGGAUUAAUUCCCUUUCACACACACCACUUGCACCUCUUGCUUGCUUUAUGUCAAAACUCACAACUCAACACACACAUCACUCCUUUCCCUCUCCAAAACCAGCCACCCUACAUGUAGGGUACUUUUGGGGCUUUUAUGCAAUUACAUAAAGUUUUGAUACUUUUGUGAAUUUGCACUUUGGCCCAAAAGUUUACGUUUUUACGU